rnacentral:sRNA from 1 species
ACAUUUGGCAGGCAGGCGGGCUCGCACGCCGGAGCGCUCAGCCCAGAAUUAGUGGAUUUAUUUGGAAUCUCCCUGCCUCCUCCAAGCUCCGCCGCCGCCGCCGGCUUGUGCAUAGACGGUAGCGUCAAGACACCAGCUGCACUUUGGGUUGCGGACACCCAGAGCCCAGCGCGCCUGCCCUGCGUCUCCGCACCAAGCCCUGUAGCUCCGAGAGGCAUGAACGGAAUCCGGAGGCGCCUGCCUAGCGAGCGAGGACCGGUCGGCGCUUGCCGCCCUCGGGAGCUAACCCCGAGCACCUCCAGCCAUUUGUGAACCAGGAGGCUUGACAUUCGCCAGCGCAGGGCCCCACAAGAAAAGUUGUGAUGCGAAUCUAUUU